GCGCUAAACACUAUAAACAUUACAAACAAUGAACAAAAGCCAAGCAUAACAUUCCACAACUCCUCCACGUACUGUUACUCCACCGCCGUCUCAACAGCGAUCGGAAUACGCGACAUUUACUGAGAGAUUCCUGAGGGUGGUAGAACAGCAGGACUUGCAGACAUUGUGUGGAACGCAAAGCGGAAAGAGAAGAGACACUGACUGAAGCCCUGAAUGAACUGGGAAAAGGAUUGGAAGCUUUAGCAGAAGCUAAUAAAUGGAUUAAAGAUAAAAUAUUA